UACGUAGGGGGCUAGCGUUGUUCGGAUUUAUUGGGCGUAAAGAGCGUGUAGGCGGCCAGGUAGGUCUGCUGUGAAAACUCGAGGCUCAACCUCGAGACGUCGGCGGAAACCAUCUGGCUAGAGUCCGGAAGAGGAGAGUGGAAUUCCUGGUGUAGCGGUGAAAUGCGCAGAUAUCAGGAAGAACACCCGUGGCGAAGGCGGCUCUCUGGGACGGUACUGACGCUGAGACGCGAAAGCGUGGGGAGCGAACAGG
rnacentral:rRNA from 1 species